GUCGAACGAUGAACCUCUUCGGUGGGGAUUUGUGGGGAACGGGUGAGAAACACGUGGGCAAUCUGCCCUGCGCUCUGGGACAAGCCCUGUAAACGGGGUCUAAUACCGGAUACUGACCCCCCUGGGCAUCCCGGCGGUUCGAAAGCUCCCGCGGUGCAGGAUGAGCCCGCGGCCUAUCACCUUGUUGGUGAGGUAACGGGUCACCAAGGCGACAACAGGUAGCCGGCCUGAGAGGGCGACCGGCCACACUGGGACUGAGACACGGCCCACACUCCUACGGGAGGCAGCAGUGGGGAAUAUUGCGCAAUGGGCGAAAGCCUGAUGCACCGACGCCCCGUGAGGGAUGACAGCCUUCUGGUUGUAAACCUCUUUCACCAGGGAAGAAACGCAAGUGACGGUACCUGCGCAAAAAACGCCGGCUAACUACGUGCCACCAGCCGCGGUAAUACAUAUGGCGCGAGCGUUGUCCGGAAUUAUUGGGCGUAAAGAGCUCUUAUGCGGCUUGUCUCGUCGGUUGUGAAAGACCGGGGCUUAACCCCGGGUCUGCGGUCUAUACGGGCAGGCUAUAGUUCGGUAGGGGAGAUCGGAAUUCCUGGUGUAUCGCUGAAAUGUGCACAUAUCUGGAGGAACACCGGUGGGGAAAGCGGGUCUCUGUGGCGAUACUGACACUGAGGAGAGAAAGCGUGUGGAGCGAACAGGAUUAUAUACCCUGGGGAGUCCC
rnacentral:rRNA from 1 species